rnacentral:rRNA from 1 species
UACAGGGGGUGCAAACGUUGCUCGGAAUCAUUGGGCGUAAAGCGCACGUAGGCGGUUCGUUAUGUCGGAUGUGAAAGCCCUUGGCUUAACCAAGGAAGUGCAUCCGAAACUGGCGAGCUAGAGUACGAAAGAGGAUCGCGGAAUUCCCGGUGUAGAGGUGAAAUUCGUAGAUAUCGGGAGGAACACCGGUGGCGAAGGCGGCGAUCUGGGUCGAUACUGACGCUGAGGUGCGAAAGCGUGGGGAGCAAACAGG